UACGAAGGGUGCAAGCGUUACUCGGAAUUACUGGGCGUAAAGGGUGCGUAGGUGGUUCUUUAAGUCUGCUGUGAAAGCCCCGGGCUCAACCUGGGAAUGGCAGUGGAUACUGGAGAGCUAGAGUGCGGUAGAGGGUAGUGGAAUUCCCGGUGUAGCAGUGAAAUGCGUAGAGAUCAGGAGGAACACCAGUGGCGAAGGCGGCUACCUGGACCAGCACUGACACUGAAGCACGAAAGCGUGGGGAGCAAACAGG
rnacentral:rRNA from 1 species